ensembl:lncRNA
UUAUAAUAACCCACUGUAGGGAGUUUAACAGGGUGACCACCUGGGGUUGAAAGCUUUGUUUCCAAUUGUCUCUCUGUCCUGAUAAUGAUUGUCGUGAAACCUGCUUGCUGGAUGCACCGCAAAACAGCCCUUGGCCCCCCAGGUGGCUGAAGCCUGCCCUGUUCAGUGUGUCCAUUCUCCAGCACUGAAGACUCCGGCCCCCAGGUGGCUGAAGCCUGCCCUGUUCAGUGUGGCCAUUCUCCAGCACUGAAGUCUCCGGCCCCCAGGUGGCUGAAGCCUGCGAUGUUCUGUGUGGCCAUUCUCCAGCACUGUAAAAAGGUGUAAAGGCUGAAAGGAACAAAGUAAGCGUAUUGCAGUGUCUUACCGUUAAAAUGAGCUACUGCAGCAGUUUCAUGGUACCGGUCUUCAGUUCUGUUCCAGUGAUGUGCCCUCCAGUUGGCCCAUGACGCAGUUUCAACGUGUAGGUGAUGUUCCGCACUCACGGCUAAGGGGGAAAACCUUUGUGCAAGCAGGUAAAUGUGUAGUUUCACAUGCAACGGUUCCUGAAAUACUGCCGCGCACAUACACGCACGCACGCACACACACUCUUGAAGCCACAAACCAAAACUAAGCUCAAGCACUUGACAGUGUUUUUUUGAUUUUCGU